rnacentral:rRNA from 1 species
UACGUAGGGUGCAAGCGUUGUCCGGAAUUAUUGGGCGUAAAGAGCUCGUAGGCGGUUUGUCGCGUCUGCUGUGAAAACUGGAGGCUCAACCUCCAGCCUGCAGUGGGUACGGGCAGACUAGAGUGCGGUAGGGGAGAUUGGAAUUCCUGGUGUAGCGGUGGAAUGCGCAGAUAUCAGGAGGAACACCGAUGGCGAAGGCAGAUCUCUGGGACGUAACUGACGCUGAGGAGCGAAAGCGUGGGGAGCGAACAGG